rnacentral:rRNA from 1 species
UACACAGUAAACGAUGAAUACUGAUUGUUGAAUAGAUUUCUAUUCAGUGAUUAAGUUAACACGUUAAGUAUUCCGCCUGGGGAGUAUGAUCGCAAGAUUGGAACUCAAAGGAAUUGACGGGAAUUUGGACGAGCGGUGGAGCAUGUAGUUUAAUGCGAUUACACACGCUAAACCUUACCAGUUUUUGACAUAAUACUAAAUAAAAUAUAUUUGUUUAAACCAUAUAUUAUAUUUAUAUCUUCAUAGUAUUACAGGGU